rnacentral:rRNA from 1 species
GAUGAACGCUAGCGGCAGGCUUAACACAUGCAAGUCGAGGGGUAUAGUUCUUCGGAGCUAGAGACCGGCGCACGGGUGCGUAACGCGUAUGCAAUCUGCCUUUUGCAGAGGGAUAGCCCAGAGAAAUUUGGAUUAAUACCUCAUAGUAUGUGAGAAUGGCAUCAUUUUCACAUUAAAGUCACAAAGGCAAAAGAUGAGCAUGCGUCCCAUUAGCUUGUUGGUAAGGUAACGGCUUACCAAUGCAACGAUGGGUAGGGGUCCUGAGAGGGAGAUCCCCCACACUUGUACUGAGACACGGACCAGACUCCUACGGGAGGCAGCAGUGAUGAAUAUUGGACAAUGGGCGCAAGCCUGAUCCAGCCAUGCCGCGUGCAGGAUGACUGUCCUAUGGAUUGUAAACUGCUUUUGUACAGGAAGAAACACUGGUUCGUGAACCAGCUUGACGGUACUGUAAGAAUAAGGAUCGGCUAACUCCGUGCCAGCCGCCGCAGUAACAC